rnacentral:lncRNA from 1 species
AAAAGAAAUAUGCUGCUCUAGUUGUUGAACCAACAUCAGAUGGGAAUUACAUUACCAAGCAGGAGCUGAAAGGAUUAGAUAUAGUUAGAAGAGACUGGUGUGAUCUUGCCAAGGACACUGGAAAGUGAGUUUAACUUUUAUUUACUUUUGUUGUUGGUCUUUUGAAUUUUUGUUUAAAAAAAAAAAAAAAGAUCCAAGGGCAGGGGCUGGAGAGAUGGCACAGCAGUUAAGAGCACUUACGGCUCUUCCAGAAGAACUGGGUUCAAUUCUCGCCAUCCAAAUGGCAGCUCACAACUGUCUAUAAUUCUAAGAUCUGACACCUUCACACAGACAUGCAUGCAGGCAAAAUACCAAUGGAUGUAAAAUAAAAAGAAAUAAAUUCUUUUUAAAGAAUUCAAGUGCUAUUGAAAUGUCUAUGAGUCUGCCAAGUAUAAGGAUACAACUUCCCUCUUUGUUGUUAUUGUUACUAUUACAUAUUACAAAUAAAAUUUAACAGAUUAAAAGUUAGAUAAUGCUAAAUUUGCACAAGAAGAGACACUGGUUUUAAGAUAGCAUCUCCUGGUGAGAAUAAAUCUUUACACCUGGAUCCUUAGAGAGCUGAUUUUGUUGAUAGUGCUUUUUUUUUUUUUUAAUUCCUGUUUUUGAAAGUGUUGUAUACUGAAUCCCUAGAUCCUAAUUAUAAACAUAAUUUUUAUGAUUUUUCUGUUAUGUAGUUUGAAAUGUGCAAUUAAAAUUGAGCCAUGUAGUAGACUUUAUUCCUCUAUAUCAUUUGUAUAUAAAUGAUUCUUACUAAUCUCAGAUUAAUUUGAGAGCAAGUUCUAAAAUACUGUGUUCACUUCUGAAGUAAUAAUACAUGAUCUACUAGCCUUGCAAAUUAAAGAUUAUGAUAAAAAUAUGUGUUCACAUUAAAGUAUGAAGUACCCAUUUGAAAAAUUAAUACUUCAACAUAUUAUAUAUCAUCUUUCACAUAUUCCUAUAUUGUGAUUUAGAUCAGUUCUGAAAACAGAAGUUUUCCAUGAUGGCUAGAUUUAAAAGUACUAAUUUAACUUUCAGGUAGAUAGCAACAUUUUCAACUUAUCUUCCAAUCUUCUUCCUGCUUGCAAGUUGAGAAAUUGAAUGAGUGUUGUUUCCUCUUAAUUAGGCAAAGGUGCUCAUCUGAGUAUAGGCCAUGCUUCGUGUCUUAGGAAAUGUGCUUUGGAAUGCUUCAUUGCUCCAAAUAUACUCAAAGAUGAAACUACUUUGUGUAGGCUGUCAAUUGUUCUCCUUAGCUUUCUGUUUUCUAAGGAAAGAUGCAUAAUUAUAGAAGCAAAUUUCUCUGAGUUAGAAAUUUAUUAGUAAUUAAAGCUAUACAAAUGUUUUCGUCAGGGUUCUUUUUCUGACAAGUUAUAAAGCAGCUGUCAAUCUCCUGAUCUGCAUUUUCUCAGAAAUGUAUAAAAUGUUGGCUACUUUAUUUUUCUUGAGACUUUGUACAAUAAUAUGAAAUUUUUGAGUGAUAGCCUAAAAGUUAGAACAUUGAACAAUUUUUAAUGAUCCU